UACGUAGGGAGCAAGCGUUGUCCGGAAUCAUUGGGCGUAAAGCGCGCGUAGGUGGCUUCGUAAGUCCGUUGUGAAAGUCAAAAGGCUCAACCUUUGAAAGCCGAUGGAUACUGUGGAGCUAGAGUACGGAAGAGGCGAGUGGAAUUCCUGAUGUAGCGGUGGAAUGCGCAGAUAUCAGGAGGAACACCAAUAGCGAAGGCAGCUCGCUGGGACGUACUGACACUGAGGCGCGAAAGCGUGGGGAGCGAACAGG
rnacentral:rRNA from 1 species